rnacentral:rRNA from 1 species
UACGAAGGGGGCUAGCGUUGCUCGGAAUUACUGGGCGUAAAGGGCGCGUAGGCGGACAGUUAAGUCAGAGGUGAAAGCCCAGGGCUCAACCCUGGAACUGCAUCCGAUACUGCCAUGCUAGAGAACUGAAGAGGAGUGUAGAAUUCUCGGUGUAGCAGUGAAAUGCGUAGAUAUCGAGAGGAAUACCAACGGCGAAGGCAGCACUCUGGGCAGUUUCUGACACUGAGGCACGAAGGCUAGGGGAGCAAACGGGAUUAGAACCUC